rnacentral:tRNA from 1 species
GGACGCGUGGCUGAGUGGUCUAAAGCAUCUACCUUGAAAGUAGAAACUCCUUACGGAGUCAAGAGUUCGAAUCUCUUCACGUCUG